rnacentral:lncRNA from 1 species
UGAAAAUUGUGCUAAAUCCAAAAGCCAUAAACAAUCUUUUUCUUGUAGUACUACUUCACAUGACUCUACUUUUGAUUUGAUUCACAGGUGAUAUAUGGGGUCCUGCACCAAUUUUAUCUAUAUUGGGUGUUUUACUAAAAAAAUAAAAAUACUACUGUUUAUUGGUUUAAAUGAGAAAAAAUUGACUAGGUUUCGAAAAAUCAAUUAAUCUUAUUGUUUAAGAAAAAUCGACCUUCAAAAUCAGAGUCGCCACUUGAUUUUUGAUAAAAUCAAGAAAAACUUCAAAAGAUUUAAAAACAGAUUAAAAAUCAAUUGAAGAGGGUUCGAAGUUCAAUGUACAUCUCGAGAAGAUGUUAGACCCUCGGGAUGCCCGCUAACUUGCGGUUGACCGGCGAUUUGACUAAAUGACUUUUAAAAUAAAAUUUUUAACUAAGUAAAGAGAAAAUUCAUUUUGAUAUUUUUUAUUUCAUUCUUUUUACUUUUUUUUUCCUAAAGGGAAAUGUUUAGAGAGAAUUAAUUUAAGGAAAACUAAAUGGUGAUAAAAGUGAAUAAAAUAGUAAAAUUUAAAAUAAUGAAAAAUGGCUACUCUUUAGGAGAUUAUUAAAAUUCUACCAAAACACUAAUUAAUUCAAACAAAUAAUAAAUAAAGAGAGAAAAAUAUUUGAACUUGGGCUUGAUUGCCCAAAUCCAUCCAAUUGGGCUUUGGCCCACCUGUCCUAAUCUAUUUACUUAGAUUUGGGCCCUUUUUAAAAAAAAAAAUGCAAAAACAAAUGGUCAUUGGGCCUGUUGAUAAAAGGGGACUGAAGGGCCUUAGCCCAAUUUCCUGAAAAAGGAGACAUAAAGUAAACAAACGAUGUAUACUGUUGUAUACGAUGUAUAUCAGCAUCCAUUUUGAACCUUUUGAGCCCUGCAUUUAUUUAUAUACGUAUUUUCAGCUAUUUCCCCUGUAUUUCGCAUAUCGUCUCUGCAUAUUUGUACCUGUAUCAUUUUUUAAACCUGUUUAACAAUUAUAUAUCGUCGCCCGAUAAUGUAUACUAAUGUAUACGGGCUGCACCCUGCGUCCGUAUUAAUUGCCUAAUCCCGAAUUUUAGUUAAAACAAGCGUCCGUGUACGUUCCCCUGCCAAUCAUAUUUUUUGAGCAUAUAUAUAGUAUAUCAUCCCUGUAUAUCUGUGUAUACAGGCUAUAUAUAAGCCUGUUUUUCAACUUUCGGAAGUUGAAAACUCCUUUCCAGAAACGUAAUUUUCCUGUCUCUCCAAAAACCAUUCCUUUCUUCUUUUUUUUUCUUCUUUUUCUUCUCUUUUUUUUCUCCCUCUUUUCUUCUUUUCUCUCAACCCACCCCCUAACAAUAAAGAAAAUGGGGAUUAUUUAUAAGCCAAAUUAUAGCCAAAAGAGGGGGAAAUUUGUUUAAAAUUUGAAUUUUGAAUUUUGAAUUUUAAAAGGGGUAAGGUUGGAGGGAAAGGGAAAAAGGGAAUUGGGUUGGGAAUUAAUUAAAACGGAAUGGGCUAUGUAAUUGGGCCUGGGUGUCUGAAAAUAAAGUGGGCCUGGAAGGGAAUGAGGUGGGCUGGAAAUUUAUUAGGCUUGGGGUUUGGGAGAAGUGUUGGGUUGCUGAAGUGGGCUGGGAGAAGAAGAAAUACAAAUGGGCCUGGAAAUUAAAGGGAGUGUGUAAGUGGCCCAAAACUAAGAUCUUUUGGUGGAUUUAAAGAAUGGGUUAAAUUUGAUAAAUAGCCAAAUUGAGUUAAGAUAAUAAAUUCGGCUAAACCUUAAAUAAAACGAAUUUGUAUUAAUUAAUCAACGAGCUUCUUUAAUUUAGUAAUAUAAUUAUUUAAAUUGUAAAAUAGUGGUUCAAAAUAUAACCAUAAUUUAAACUAUAUUAGCUAAAUAGAAUACUUACUAAAAUUAAAAUAUUUUUGAGUUGGUUUUUUGAAUAAUCAUAAAAUAUACUAAUUAUAUACAUAAUUAUGUAAAAUAUAUGUAUUAUUCAAAAGUUAUAAGAAAUGACAAAACUAUUCAAAAUGACACAAACUUUAUUUUUUUUUCUUAAAAAUUUAUAAAACUAAUUAUUUUAAAUUGCUUGGAAAAUUUAAGAAGCUCAUGAAUUAAUUUCUAUCGGAGAUGGUCAAAAUUGGGUGUCAACAGCUGUCCCUCAUUUUACUUGGAUUGAUGCCAGCAAUUCGAGGAAAAUAAUAUUGACCAAGCCAAUUUUGACCAACCUCAUUCAUCUUUAAGGGAAGGAUUUGGCAAAGGGUUGAGGAAUUAUGGCCGAACCCUUGAAACGGGUUUCCUACAUAUCUCAGGCUAUAUGAGAAUUCAGGCCACUUGUAGUUUGAUAUGUUUGAUUUAACGCACGAUUUUUAAAAAAUUCAAAAACCACCUCGAUACCGAAUUAUGAAGGUAUCGAAAUGCUCGAGAAUAAAAUUGGAGAGCGAAUGUUGGAAUACAGCCGAGUAUUCAACAUUGAAUUCGCCUACAUAUCCUUAAACCUUCAGGAAUCAGGCUGUGUGUAGUUCGACUCGAUCGGUUGAAAAGGAAAUCUAUUAUGCUAGAUAACCUUCGGUUUCAGACAAGUGACAAAUUAAACGAGUAUGAAAAAGAGGCUUGUAACCUCUUAGCCAUGAAUGUGGUUGAGAACCUUACACAGACAUAAUUUCCAAAGCUCUAGGCGUGUCGUCACUCAGAUUGGAAACUUGCUUCCGAUAAAUCGAAACUUCCGGAUGCGAGACUGAAACUGACAGAACUAAAGAAAAACCCGCAUGCUUCGAGAGGGUGGUUCGAUUGUGGUGGAAGUCGCUCCUCUGCUCGCGUACUAAGAGUUUGACACUCCUCUUUGGACUGUGUCCCAGUUCACUGCUAAGAAAAAGUUCCACGUUGCGCUGCAUCCCUUUUGAUGUCCGCACCUGUGGUUUUUGGAGAAUUCAUUCUUUUGGAUGCUCUCGACAAAGACUGAGAUAAAACUCGUCAGCUUAAAAAAAUGCAAUUAGGAUGGGAGACAGUGUCUUUUUACCAUGUCGACACUUCAUUGUUCUCCUCAAUAUUCAACGUCGACUCGAUCGGUCUGACGUCCAGCGAAUAAGGCUGAUGCCCUGUGUUUUGCGAUAUAAUCUUCAAUUUACUCUUCAUUUGAUGCCAAAAUAAAUAAAUAGACGCUGAUGCGAUGUUGAUGCUUCUUUUGUCGUCAUCUUCGAUGCUCUUCUUGAUGUUUAUUUUUCUUUUCUUUUCUUCUUUUUUUUUCAAAAAUAAAGGAUGCAGUUGAGGCCGAUGGAUAAAUAUUGCUCUUGGGAUACACGAUUUCCCUUUCUUUAUCCAUGUAUGUCCUCUUGCGGGGCAUGAAUAUCUUCCUGCGAUACAAAAAUUCCUGCGAGGUAUGAAAUCCUCUCACAAUGCAUAAUUUUUCAGCGAGGCAUGAAAUUUUCUCGCGAUGCAUUAACUCCAGCGAGGUAUAAAGCCUUCUCGUGAUAUAUAAAUUUGACGAGGCAUGAAAUCUUCUCGUCGUGCAUAAAUUCAAGCGAGGUAUAAAGUCUUCUCGCGAUGUAUAAAUUUGACGAGGCAUGAAGUCUUCUCGUCGAGCAAAAUUCCAGCGAGGUAUAAAGUCCUCUCGCGAUGUAUAAAUUUGACGAGGCAUGAAAUCUUCUCGUCGUGCAUAAAUUCAAGCGAGGUAUAAAGUCUUCUCGCGAUGUGCAAAUUUGACGAGGCAUGAAAUCUUCUCGUCAUGCAUAAAUUUAAGCUAGAUAUAAAGUCUUCUCGCGAUGUAUAAAUUUGAGGAGGCAUGAAAUCUUCUCGUCGUGCAUAAAUUCAAGCGAGGUAUAAAGUCUUCUCGCGAUGUGCAAAUUUUGACAAGGCAUGACUUCUUCUCGUCGUGCAUAAUUGUUGAUUCGCAAUGCAUGAUUUUUGCAAUGCAUGACUUUUCCGCGAUGCAUGAUUUUCGCAAUGCAUGACUUUUCCGCAAUGCAUGAUUUUCGUGAUGCAUGAUUUUCGCGAUGCCUGUUUUUCCGCAAUACAUGAUUCCCGCGAUGCAUGAUUUCCCGCAAUGCAUGAUUUUCGCGAUGCAUGAUUUUUGCGCAAUGCAUGAUUUCCGCAAUGCAUGAUUUUCGCGAUUCAUGAUUUUCGCAAUGCAUGAUUUUUGCAAUGCAUGUUUUUACGCAAUGCAUGAUUUCUGCGAUGCAUGAUUUUCCGCAAUGCAUGAUUUUCGCGAUGCAUGUUCUUCCGCAAUGCAUGAAUUUUGUGAUGCAUGAUUUUCCGCAAUGCAUGAUUUUACGCGAUGCAUAAUUUUCCGCAAUGCAUGAUUUUUGCGAUGCAUGAUUUCCGCAAUGCAUGAUUUUCGCGAUGCAUGAUUUUCGCGAUGCAUGAUUUUUUGCAAUGCAUGGUUUUUGCGAUGCAUGAUUUUCACAAUGCAUGAUUUUCGCGAUGCAUGAUUUUCGUGAUGCGUGAUUUUUUGCAAUGCAUGAUUUUUAACGAGGCCUGGAUGGCUCGAUAAUGUUCCAACUGUAACGAUGUGGAUGGCUCGAUAAUGUUCCAACUAUAACGAGGUGGACGGCUCGAUAAUGUUCCAACUGUAACGAGGUGGACGGCUCGAUAAUGUUCCAACUGUAACGAGGUGGAUGGCUCGAUAAUGUUCCAACUGUAACGAGGUGGACGGCUCGAUAACGUUCCAACUGUAACGAGGUGGAUGGCUCGAUAAUGUUCCACUGUAACGAGGUGGAUGUCUCGAUAAUACUCCAACUGUAACGAGGUGGAUGGCUCGAUAAUGUUCCAACUGUAACGAGGUGGAUGGCUCGAUAAUGUUCCACUGUAACGAGGUGGAUGUCUCGAUAAUGUUCCACUGUAACGAGGUGGAUGUCUCGAUAAUGUUCCACUGUAACGAGGUGGAUGUCUCGAUAAUGUUCCACUGUAACGAGGUGGAUGUCUCGAUAAUGUUCCUGCAAGAUAAAAAGAAACUUGUUUAGAAAUCACUUGAGGCAAUAUAAAGAAAUAGAGAUAAAAUAAGGUGGAAGAUUUUCUAGGUUUUGUUGAGGAGUCCACGAUGGGUGCAAGUGACGCCUUUUGUCAUUCUUGACAGCUUUAUAUAGCCAUUUUUGUGACUUCAAUGUUCCUGCAUCCAAAGAAAAAUUCUUAGUUUGAAAGACUGAUUUGUGUUGGUUUUGUCUCCAUGCUCCUUCUUGCAGUUGACUUGCACGCUCGCCCGUCUUUAUAUGACAUAUUUGAUGGUAUUUUUUGAAGACCCUCCUCAAAAAAUUUGUCCCGGUCUAAAAUAUAUAAGAACUCUCAUAACUUGCUCUGUUAACUCUGAGGUUGCUCAUUCUGAAAUAUUGAGGCCCCUCCUCAACAUUUUGUCCCAGUUUACCUCAAUAAGUAACAAAUGACAUUUGUGGAAUUUUUGAGAUCAUCUCAAAAAUUUUGUCCCAUUUGCAAGCUAGAUUGUCGUAAUUUUUGAGAUCCACCUAAGGCUAAUCUUCGUAGAAUUUUGGUCUUCUGUUUUGACUUUGUUAAAGAAGUCCAACUUCCAAUGAAUUUUGAGAUCCUCUCAAAAUUCUGUCCCAGUUUCCAUUAUGAAGAGAAAUGGAAAUCUUGCUGGGUAUUAUGACCGAGCUGUUGUGGCGCCUACGUAUCCCGUUGGAGCAGGAAUCAGGUCAAACGUAGUUCCCCUCUCAAGGAUUAACCAAAAUAGGAAGUUUUGAUAAUGAAACGACCGAGGCCGACAUAGGCCGCCUACAUAUCUCAUUCUUGAGAAUUCAGGUCGAACGUAGUUCCAACACAAGGAAUAAUCAAGGGGAAUAAAUGGGGUGACCGAAGCCGACAUAGGCCGCCUACGUAUCUCGUUCUCGAGAAUUCAGGUCAGACGUAGUUCGUUACACAAAGGAAUAAUCAAGGGGAAUAAAUGGGUUGACCGAAGCCGACAUAGGCCGCCUACGUAUCUCGUUCUCAAGAAUUCAGGUCAGACGUAGUUCGUUAGAAAUGUGCGAUACAUUUUCAAAGGGAAGGUAACAAAACUUCAUAUGCAAAAUUUGGCCAAUGUUGGACAUUCUUUUUCUCGACCUUUGAUGAUGAAUAUCUUCAAACGGCUCAAUUCAGAAAUGUCUUGUACUCACUCUUGAGUAUCCAAUAUGUCGUCCAUUCAGGUGGUUUCCUCAAUAUUGAUCAAGUUGUUGUUGAUCAUGUUUUGUAUCUUGUGCUUCAGAGUCGAACAAUUCUCUGUGUCAUGUCCAACGGCUCCUUGUAUUCUUUGCAUUUCGACCCUCAUUUUGGCAAUCUGUUGCAUCAACUGCAUAAUUAGUUCAUUUUUAUCAGCGCAGCGGGUUGAGCCACGACAACAUCAUUCAUGUCAAUCUCAUCAUUGUUAUCCCCCAUCGAUGUCUUUUCUUUUUGCAAAUUUGAUUGGGGAAGGAAUCUUUGGAGCCUUUAACCUUGUGAAAUACGGACGAUCAACCAACUUAUCAACACAAAUCAGUUUUAAAUACCUGAAAAAUGAAAAAAAACUCAAAAGACCAAUAUGUUAGUGCCUGGAUGUGAUAAAUAAUACAAGAUAUCACAUAAAGGUGUAAACACAUAAAAGUUGCUUUAUUCGGAGAUAAGCUGGCUCACGAAUAGGGAGAGACCAAAUAUAUAAAAAAAAUGUUUAAAUAGACAGGAAUUUGUCUACUUGACUCUGGGAUUAGCGAAUAAAAAUGUCGACUUGAGUCGAAACAAAGUUGACGGUAUCUUUCAUUACCGUACUUUGAUUUUGAUUGAGAUGUAACUCUAAUUUCAUUGUAAGAGUCGGAAAAGAUAAAAUUUCUCAAAAUUAUUUUGAUUUGAAAUGCUGAAUCUUUUUCUGGUAUGAGAGUAAUACUAAAGAAAAAUGAAGUUCGUUUUUUUUUUGGGGAAACUAAAGACUCGAAGAGUGUUUGGACGCACUUUUAAUAGUGGUUUGAUAUUUGUGCUUACGGUUUCUAAAAGUAUUUGAAGAAGAGUGAGCUAGAAUAUCUCCAGAUAAAACAACAUAUUCACAUAAGCAGUUGUAACACAUAUUGCGCGUUCUAAACAGAUGUGUGACCCUUUUGUGCCAAGGGUGGGCCUAGCGAUUUGAGGGAUGUAUACGUCAUUUGAAACAUUUCAUUAAUGAUUCUCUCAAACAGCGUAUACAUCCUUCAAAUUUAAACACAUAAGUAUGAACGCCCAUUUAGGCCGUGGGCCGUUUCGGAACUCAAGGUGAUCUUCUAAUGGGCCCAACACGCCAUGGGUAUUGGGUCAUCUUAGGCAAAUGCGCUAUUUUCGGGAUUGAGUUUCGCUCUAUCUUAGUUUGACUAAGAGUGAGUUGUAUUUAAAGUGGAAUGGGUAACCCAAGCGGACUACUUGGGCUGGGACAAUUAACGAUCAUUAACUAUCAAGUAGUCAACUACACUCGUCAGGGUGCCCCGAGAAAAUCUUUGGUUAACGAACGACUGCGAACCCGCAUAGUCGUCCUUUAGUGGAAAUGAAAUAAUUGUCGUUUGACGGAAGUAUGAUAUGUUAUGCAUGCAAUAACAAUAUAUGAAAGAUUAAACAAUUCCGCACAAACAAUAAAUAAAACAAAUUAAGCAAGUAGUCAAACAAUCAAAUCUUGUGGUUAGAACUUUAACAUCCCCAGCGGAGUCGCCAUUUCUGUUUUACUUAAAAAAUAAAAAUACUACUGUUUAUUGGUUUAAAUGAGAAAAAAUUGACUAGGUUUUGAAAAAUCAAUUAAUCUUAUUGUUUAAGAAAAACCGACCUUCAAAGUUGGAGUCGCCACUUGAUUUUUGAUAAAAUCAAGAAAAACUUCAAAAGAUUUAAAAACAGAUUAAAAAUCAAUUGAAAAGGGUUCCAAGUUCAAUGUACAUCUCGAGAAGGUGUUAGGCCCUCGGGAUGCCCGCUAACUUGCGGUUGACUGGCGAUUUGACUAAAUGACUUUUAAAAUAAAAUUUUUAACUAAGUAAAGAGAAAAUUCAUUUUGAUAUUUUUUAUUUCAUUCUUUUUACUUUUUUUUUCCUAAAGGGAAAUGUUUAGAGGGAAUUAAUUUAAGGAAAACUAAAUAGUGAUAAAAGUGAAUAAAAUAGUAAAAUUUAAAAUAAUGAAAAAUGGCUACUCUUUAGGAGAUUAUUAAAAUUUUACCAAAACACUAAUUAAUUCAAACAAAUAAUAAAUAAAGAGAAAAAAAUAUUUGAACUUGGGCUUGAUUGCCCAAAUCCAUCCAAUUGGGCUUUGGCCCACCUGUCCUAAUCUAUUUACUUAGAUUUGGGCCCUUUUUUAAAAAAAAAACCUGCAAAAACAAAUGGUCAUUGGGCCUGUUGAUAAAAGGGGACUGAAGGGCCUUAGCCCAAUUCCCUGAAAAAGAAGACAUAAAGUAUACAAACGAUGUAUACUAUUGUAUACGGUGUAUAUCAGCAUCCAUUUUGGACCUUUUGAGGCCUGCAUUUAUUUAUAUACGCAUUUUCAGCUAUUUCCCCUGUAUUUCGCAUAUCGUCUCUGCAUAUUUGUACCUGUAUCAUUUUUUAAACCUGUUUAACAAUUAUAUAUCGUCGCUCGAUAAUGUAUACUAAUGUAUACGGGCUGUACCCUGCGUCCGUAUUAAUUGCCUAAUCCCGAAUUUUAGUUAAAACAAGCGUCCGUGUACGUUCCCUUGCCAAUCAUAUUUUUUGAGAAUAUAUAUAGUAUAUCAUCCCUGUAUAUCUGUGUAUACAGUCUGUAUAUAAGACUGUUUGUCAACUUUCGGAAGUUGAAAACUCCUUUCCAGAAACGUAAUUUUCCUUUCGUCAACUCAGAUUUUGAGUUUGGGCCUCCUGUGGAUUUUUGACCUGUAUCACAAUGUAUAUAUUGUGUAUAAACCAGAUACACAGCUUCAAAACAAAAAUCGCAGCCAAAUGCCUGCAAUCCGCUACUUCCAGCAGCUCUCCAAUGGUUUUACUUUCGACCUAUACCUCCUCUCAGGGGUUGGAUGACUCGGGAAAAGUGUUUUGAGGUUGGCUGACUCGGGAAAAGUGUUUUGAGCCUUUAUGGCUCAACGAGGAAUGCAAGAAUGGAAUCCAAAGUGGACUCGAAUCGAUGUCACACAAGAAAAAAAAACAAAAAAAAAUAGUUAGCAAGGUGGAAUGACAACAUCUAAAAAAGAAGAAAGAAAAAAAAAAUUCACCUUCUUCGGGGCAGCGAGCUAGAGACGAAACGAGCAAAGGGAUGACCUUCCACUACACAACUUCGAAUUCAAAUGAUAAUCUGUUUUUAAUUCAACUUCAAUAGAUAUAUAGGUGUGCUUAAACUAUUGUAAAAUCUUCCUAUGAAUAAACUCUUUCAAUAAUUCUUUUCUUUUCUAUCACAAGAUGUAAAAAAAAAAUUCUCUCCAAAAACCAUCCCUUUCUUCUUCUUCUUUCUUCUUUUUCUUCUCUUUUUCUUUCUCCCUCUUUUCUUCUUUUCUCUCAACCCAC